rnacentral:rRNA from 1 species
UACAGAGGGUGCUAGCGUUGUUCGGAAUCAUUGGGCGUAAAGGGCGUGUAGGCGGUUUGUUAAGUCAUGUGUGAAAUCUCCCGGCUCAACUGGGAGGUGCGCCGAAAACUGGAGUGCUGGAGCGCGGGAGAGGAAAGCGGAAUUCCUGGUGUAGCGGUGAAAUGCGUAGAUAUCAGGAGGAACACCGGCGGUGUAGACGGCUUUCUGGGACCGUAGCUGACGCUGAGACACGAAAGCGUGGGUAGCAAACAGG